GCAUCUCUGUUUUCCCUUUUUUCUCCACCUUAUAUUCCGAUAAACACCAUAGCCGCCGCAGAGAUGUCUUCUUCAGAUGCUCAGAUUGCUCACGCCGCCGUCGAGUACUCCACCUUCGCCUCUCUUCGUCUCGGAAGGACGGUUCAGUUCUGUAUAACAUAGAUUAUAUAGAUUUAUCGGUGAAGUAUUAAAGUUUGGUUUUUAUUUUGUUACAGGAUUCGGUUAUUCACGCUUUCAUCCCUGCAAAUCGGGCGAGUCAUUACCGACCAUCGUUAAAAGCUGGUUGUAUUGUCAGGUUGGAGCGUUUUGAAGUUACACGGGUUGCCCACAUGUACAAGGUGACGGAGCAUCAGUUCUUGAUCCGUUUCCUUCCGUCUACACACCUUGGUGAGGUCCACACACACGCCCCUGUAAUCAAGUCUGAAAGGUUCAUGAUGAGGCGUUAUGACCAACCUAGAGCUCCCAGGUACAACACAAUCAGAAAUAUCAAAAGCUUCACGGAAAGAAUCAAAGGCAGUGGAUCUCAAGGACCUAUGAAUGCUUCUCUCGCAUUGUCAUCACCUGCAGUGAGUUUCAUCUAAACAUGGAGAUUUGAUCGUAUCCUUCUCGCCUCUUUAGAGCUGUAAGUUUUUUUUUUCUUUUUUUUUCUGGCCUUUUCAUUCUUGAUCGUUGUACAUAAUCUCAGCCUCUUUCUCAAGACUGGUCUCUUUUCUAAGAUUUGUAUCACUACGAGAAUUCUGUGAUUCGCGGUUCCAACUCUAUUGAGAAGGUAACACCCAUUCUUUAAACAUACUUUAAUACUCUUAUGUUGUUCCAGAAUAGACUCAACUAAGGUUAGCACUGUUGUUCUCCUCAAGACACAUGAAACUGAUUUUGUUUUCAAGUCUUAAAUUGUUGGUCAGAUUUUUGGCGUCAUCCAACAAAAUGGCUGGUCCGUUUGUUGCUCAAGUUGUAGAGUAGGAAGCUUACAAAGGAAACCGAUGUGUUUCUUCCACCUUGACAGGAGUCAUCAGGUUCUGUGUUGAACUAGGUAUUGUUGACGGAAGGAACAGACAACAGAGAUGACAAAACUCAUCAAGAAAGAGGUAGCAAGUCUGACUCUUGAGGAAUUAGUAGCGGUGAGAAAAUGAAGCUACCAAAAUGUCCUUUUCAAGCUACGUGUGACUCCCUAUAGCCUCACUCCAAAUCACUGUACGUUCACCGUCUCAGCAAUCAGUGAAGCUUCACAUCUUAUUUGGCACUCAGGCAGAGGUAGGACAAGCAAUAUAUAUAGAAUCUGCCAGCAACAUAUAUGAUGCGCCAAAGAUUUCACUGAGAGUUGGUGAAGCAAGUCUGUCAGGUUCUGCAGCCGACGGUAACAAACGCCCCCGUGAGUGAUUCUCGCAAGGCCAUCUAACCGUCAACCUCUCUGUGUUAAUUAUCUAUUUUAAGUGUUUUCUCUACUUUAAAGUGUGAACUUUGGUCCUCUUUGAUUUGUUGUAAACUAUUUCUUACUGUUGUAAAAAUUGCUAUGACCUUAAUAAAAAGAGUUUGUUUAAAAAAAAUAGUAAAAGGAGCAACAUGUAGGAAAAGAGAG